rnacentral:lncRNA from 1 species
CUCCACUGGACGCGAGCGGGUGGAGGCGUGCGCGUCGGCGGCGCCGGGGGCCUGAGGAGGCGUAGUCCCCGCCGGCUUUUCCCCGGGAGCGCCUUCUUGGCCGGUGCGUGGCCGGCAGCUCGGGAACAGCAGCUGAUCCGGACCGGGAUAUGACCUUCUGCCUGGAAUAGCUGAAGUUCUUAAAAGUUGAAUGAGACCUGAGGUGGCAGUUUAUAUAAAGGAAGCAUUGGGACUUGUGGCCACACUGUUCA